AGAUUUGUUCGUAGAGCGCGAACAAGCAAAUAUUAAAGAACGCUCAAAUAGA
rnacentral:sRNA from 12 species